AUUGAACGCUGGCGGCAUGCCUUACACAUGCAAGUCGAACGGUAACAGGUCUUCGGAUGCUGACGAGUGGCGAACGGGUGAGUAAUACAUCGGAACGUGCCCGAGAGUGGGGGAUAACGAGGCGAAAGCUUCGCUAAUACCGCAUACGAUCUCAGGAUGAAAGCAGGGGACCGGAAGGCCUUGCGCUCACGGAGCGGCCGAUGGCAGAUUAGGUAGUUGGUGGGAUAAAAGCUUACCAAGCCGACGAUCUGUAGCUGGUCUGAGAGGACGACCAGCCACACUGGGACUGAGACACGGCCCAGACUCCUACGGGAGGCAGCAGUGGGGAAUUUUGGACAAUGGGCGCAAGCCUGAUCCAGCCAUGCCGCGUGCAGGAUGAAGGCCUUCGGGUUGUAAACUGCUUUUGUACGGAACGAAAAGACUCUGGUUAAUACCUGGGGUCCAUGACGGUACCGUAAGAAUAAGCACCGGCUAACUACGUGCCAGCCGCCGCGGUAAAAC
rnacentral:rRNA from 1 species